rnacentral:lncRNA from 1 species
GAGAAAAUGGCAACCGAAGCCUCAGUCAAUUACGACAGAACCAAAGAGUUGAAGCAAUUCGACGACACAAAAACUGGUGUUAAAGGACUCGUCGACUCCGGAAUACUCAACGUCCCCAAGAUUUUCAUUCGACCAGCCGAGGACCUUGCCGCCGACGAACUGAAUUCCAGUCAGAAAACCAUUGAAGUUCCUGUUAUAGAUUUAAGCAACAUCGGAGACAGUAUCCGGCGAAAGGAGAUCGUAAACGAAGUUAAGAUUGCAUCAGGGGAAUGGGGUUUCUUCCAAGUGAUAAACCAUGGGAUCCCAUUAAGUGUUUUGGAUGAAAUGAUUGAAGGGCUACGUUUGUUUAAUGAACAAGAUUUGGAGUUGAAGAAAGAGAUGUAUAGCCGUGACAGUGCAAAGAAAGUGAAAUUCCACUCUAAUUUUGAUCUUUAUACUUCAAAAACGGCUGAUUGGAGGGACACUUUGCAACUUACUUUCCUUGAUUCUGACCCUGACCCUUCUCAAAUGCCACCAGUCUGCAGGUAAUUAAGCACUAAUCUUGGUUUUUUUUACUCCAUAUUACCUUUUAAAUUUAGAAAUUUGACUUUUGGGAGGGAAUUUCGACUUCUUCGCAAGAAAAUUUUCCAAGUGUCAUUUAUUUAGAAUUGUUCAAUCCUUCGAAACAUCCAGUAUUAUCUUAGGUCAAGAAUUUGCAUCUCAGUUCGGUCAAAAGUUGUAUGAAAUUUACAGAGCCGAAACACUUUAUCGGAUCGAAUCGUGUGCUACAAAAGAUAAUGGUGGCAAUUUGUCAUCGGUUGAGUUUAAUCCCAGCUUGGGUUUUAACAUUAUUAAUGGAAAAUGAUCACUAUUUUCUUGGUAAGUGGUUGUGCAUCACGUACGACCCGAUUCGAUGUGUCGUUCUCACUCUGUCAAAUUGGUAUAGCUUUUAAUGAAGUCGAGAAACAGAACUUUAAUCUGAAACAAUAUUGAACUUGUUGAGAGGUUUACUCUCUUCGAGCAUAUGACACUUCAAAGACUUUUAAAAAUUUUAGUUUAAAUUUAUGUGACGAAACCAAAACCAUGUAAUAAAGGGAAGUUUAGCCAAUACAGGACCAUAUUACAGUAGAAUUUUGUCAAAUUUACAUUUUUUUUCCUAUUUUUGUUUGAUUGAAUUUGCAGAAAAUCAACAAUGGAGUAUUUUAAGCAUAUAAAAAGAUUGGGAGACGCUUUGUUUGAGUUGCUAUCAGAGGCACUUGGUCUUCAACCAGACCACCUUAACUCAAUCGGAUGUAGUAAAGGGUGUAGCAUAGUGACCCACUACUAUCCACCUUGCCCUCAACCUGAACUCACUUUAGGGGUAAGGAAACAUGCAGACGCAGGCAUAUUAACAGUGCUUCUACAGAACCAUAUGGGCGGCCUCCAAGUCCUUCACGACAGUCAAUGGUUCGACGUCCACCCCACUCGAGGUGGUUUGGUCAUAAACGUCGGCGAUCUUCUUCAAGUUAGCUUCAAUUCACAAACUCUAUAUGAAACUGUCCUAAUAGACUAGCUACUGACUCUUUUUAUGUUGUUUAUGGUAGGUUUUAUCAAAUAAUAAGUUCAAGAGUGUGAAACAUAGAGCAAUUUCCAGUCAUGUCGGACCUAGAAUUUCGGUGGCAUGUUUUUUCUCAGGACAUGCUAGCUUGCUUGACAAGCCAUUUGGACCAAUCAAAAAGCUGAUAUCAGAGGCAAAUCCUCCUCGAUAUGAAGAGUUUUUGUUAAAGGAAUAUUUUGCCAAGUUUUUUGCAAGCUCACUUGAUUCCAAGCCUCCUAUAGAUUACUACAAGCUGUGAAGCUAUAAACUAUCAAUUUGCCGUUAGAAUACCAAGCUGAAUAAAAUAGUCUUGUGUGUGUUUUAAUUUGUAUCACAAAUUUAGUAAUUGUAGUGUAGUGUAUUUUGUUUGUAUAAUAAGCAUGUUUAAGAUAUUUUAUAUUUUACAUAAAUUUUGAUAUAUAAAUAAUCUGAAUUAUAUUGUUUUCAAGACAUACAUAUAUUCUUAUCAUAUUUGUGUUGUUUUCUCUUAUUACAUUGUAUUUUUCCCACAUAAUUUAAUCUUAGAAACAUGGCUAUGGGUUUCGUCUAGUCUAGACUAUUGUGACCUCCCUUUUUAAGUCUACCCAUAGUAAAGAUUUCAUUGGUAAAAAUAUCAUGAAUGCUUUUAUACUAUAAAUUGAAUUACAUUUUACCAUCUUUACUAUUUCUGCUAUGUCACGCAACAUGUGCAAUUUAACUAAAAAAUUAAGUUUCAGUCAUUGUAGUUCACGUCUCACCUUUUAAUAAAAUUAAUUAUAUAAUAAAUUUUAUAUUUAUUUUUUUCAAAAGCGUACUUUUUUCGGCUACCACUUCAACAACUAGUUAAAUACACAAUAGAUUGUUUUUAAAAAUUUUAAGGUAAAUUGCACAUAAGUUUACUAAAUUAUUAAUUAUUAAUAAGUUUAUGUUUUGGUCACUUAACUAAAAAAAUUACAAAAUGGUCAUUAAAUUAUUAGAAAGUUUUCAUUUAAAUCAUUAGGCUAUUAAAAUCAUUAUUGUAUAGUCUUUUCUCUUCGUACAGUGUGCACCAAUCGAACAAUCGAAAGUUUUUUUUCCCUUUUCUUUUAUAAUUCAAUUUUUCUCAUGAAACCACUUUAAACGUCAUAAUUUGUCAAUCAAAAUUUAAACAGUUUUAUUCUCUAAUCUUCGACACUGACUAUCAGAUUGACUUGGAUCUAAAGUACGUUUUACUCGUCGAUGAGUAUUAAUUUACUAUACUAAUUGCUGAAUUAUUGCUUGAAACUCAUUAUAUGGACUUAAAAAGAAUAACAAUAAUUUAAAUAAAAACUUUCGAAUAGUUCAAAAUUAAAAGAUAAACUUAAUUUAGUGAGCUAUAAGUAAAUUAACCUUUUAAUUUUUAUGGUUUUUUAGUAAUUUAUUAAAUUAAAUCAGACUAAAUUGAUUCAACUAAAAGUCGGUCUUCUAAUUCAUUCAACCACUUGUGGAGAUUUUAAAAGAAAAAGAAAAAAGCAAUUCAAUUAGCAGAGAAAAUGGCAACCGAAACCUCAGUGGAUUACGACAGAACCAAAGAGUUGAAGCAAUUCGACGACACAAAAGCUGGUGUUAAAGGACUCGUCGAUGCCGGAAUACUUAACAUCCCCAAGAUUUUCGUUCGACCAGCCGAGGACCUUGCCGCCGACGAACUGAAUUCUGGCCACAAAAACGUCGAAGUCCCGAUCAUAGAUGUAAGCAACGUCGGAGACAGUAUCCGGCGACAGGAGAUCGUAAACGAAGUUAAGAUUGCAUCAGGGGAAUGGGGUUUCUUCCAAGUG